CUGGGCGCGGGGACUGGGCCGCACCCGGCGCUCCCUGCCCUGCGGACUCCGGCUGGAGCUUGAUUUGCAGUUUGCUAGACGCCACCAUUAAGAGAUUGCCAGACAGCAAAGAAUAGAAAGAGUGGCGCUUUUAACUUUUGUUUUGGUUGGUUGAAUUUUUUUUUUCCCUCUCGGCUGGCAUUAACAGCGGUGAACCAGCCGGCUUAUACCAAGACUCUCCGAAUUCCCUUCGAUUCGAAGGUCAGCGUCUCCUGAGUUAGACGUCGAAUCUGAGAAUGGUGGUGUACCACAGAGCUCGAAAGUGAGCCCGAAAGUUGGCCGGUCACUAAGACAAACGCUCUGGCUUCACGCUGCAGUUCUAAAAUGCCGCCUUUAACUGUGAAGUACUUUUUAACUGUGAGGGAAAAAUAGAAUACGGAAAAAAAAAGGACUGAACCCGUGCCUCGGACCAGGGUCUAGUAGGCUGAAGGAACUUACCUGAUGUGGACCCCUCUACAUUAGUCUCAUCUGAAGAUCCGUCCUCCUAACCCAGCACUCACACAUUUGCAGCUCCAGGAUGUGCCCUUCUCUCAAAACUGUGCCUUAGCUGUGCCCUGUGACUACACACCUUUCUUUCACUUCUGGCCAGCACCUCCUGAGAUUUGCUGAAAGCAAGUCCCAGGCAUGGAGCUGCACUACAGGAGCUACAGCACGGGUAGAUAAAACGCCAAAAGAAACCUCAUCU
rnacentral:lncRNA from 1 species